AGGACGAACGCUGGCGGCGUGCUUAACACAUGCAAGUCGAGCGAGGCCCUUCCUUCGGAGAGGUGCCCUAGCGGCGAACGGGUGAGUAACACGUGGGCAACCUGCCCCUAGCACUGGGAUAAGCCCGGGAAACCGGGUCUAAUACCGGAUAUGACCUUCAAGGGCAUCCUCGAAGGUGUAAAGGAUUCUGGCUAGGGAUGGGCCCGCGGCCUAUCAGCUUGUUGGUGGGGUAAUGGCCCACCAAGGCAACGACGGGUA
rnacentral:rRNA from 1 species